CAGGGCUCUUCGUGAUAGCGCUCCCUCGCGCAUCGGGGAUGGCGACGAUGCUCCCUCCCUCUGCUCAUCCACGGCCGACGGGCACCCGCGCCUACUCCCUGCCCGCUCUCGUCUCUUGGCAGCGGAGGUGGCCCGUGGCCCCUUCUCCGGCCGCGGCUCCGCUCGACCAACCUAGGGUUUAGGCCGGUGCCUGGGAAGGCCUAGCAGACGCAGAUCGGCGCGGCUCGACCGAGGUGGCGCAGAGCGAUUAGGGUGGCUCACGGCGCUACCGCUGGCACCGGAGACAGGGAAGCUGUAGCUCCACAGAUUGUCGAGGGUUCGACUGAGGUGGCAUGUUCGAUCGGAGCUGCCGACGCCAGAGGCGGUCGCGGCCCGGUGCAGUGCGGUGAGCGUCUUGGGUGUGUUCACAUGCGGCAGAGAUAGCGGCGGAGUCCGAGAUGAGCGCCAAGAGCCUGUAGAGAGGUGGGGCUGCGUCAUUGCCAACCUCAAGUGCACUGAUGCCCAGAUGGGACUGACGAGGAAGACGAUCCUGGAGUUACAGCCCAACAAAUAAAGGCGAUUUUCUCCCGUCUCACAACUCACAAGUCCAGAACACAUGAUGUGGUUGCCCUAAAGCCAAAUAAGGCAGAUGUCGGAUCUGCUUCGCUUGGUCAAGGUGUACUUUAUCGCUUAAAGGUACACUUAUGUCAUCUAAUGCUUCUGGGAACUUAGCUGAUGCCUGGUGCCACAUCUUCACGAUGGCGAGACAAGGACAAGGCUGAAACUUAGCCCUCCACUGUAACUUAGCUUGCCGAUCACCUCUUCGUGAUCAUAUUGCUGCUGUAACUGCUUUAGAAGUGUAUACCUUCUAUAAACAUCAGCUUGGGCCGCUUUGGGGCAAAGCAAAGUAAUAUAAUAUAAAAUCAGGUGGGGAUCGUCUCCCCCCCUUUGACAGUAAAAAGAGUCUGAGUUAUGAGGAGCCUUUCUGAACUUGUUGCAGUGAAGAAAAUUUUCAUGAAUUAAUGUGGUGAAGAAAAACUACAGAGGUGAAGUUUAGCAAAGGUGAACUCAUCUUUUAAUUAAUUAAUUUAUUCAAUGCCUUGUCGUAUUAGCAAAACAUUGAACUUUCGGUAUGUCAAAACAUCCUUUGAAAAAAUUGCCCUGGGUACAAUUUUACUGCAUGGUUAUGCUUCUUAUUUUUAUACUAACUGACCUGCAACUUUGUGCAUGCUACCUUCGAGACAUAGGCCAAGUCAUAAUUAUUCAGUCCUACAGAAGCAUAUUGGCGCCGACACAGGAAAUUUUUUUGUGUCAUUAUGAAACUGCAUGUAUGGCAAGGGGGCAAGAGUAGAGAGGGCAGAUGGUUAAUGCGAGAAAUAACUUUAUUAUGCUUUAUGCAAAAGUGUUCCUCGGAUUGUAUACAUGUUCAAAAUACAAUUGUGUAAAAGUUGAA